rnacentral:rRNA from 1 species
AGAGUUUGAUCCUGGCUCAGGAUGAACGCUAGCGACAGGCUUAACACAUGCAAGUCGAGGGGCAGCGGGGGCGUAGCAAUAUGCCUGCCGGCGACCGGCGUACGGGUGAGUAACACGUAUGUAACCUGCCCUAUGCAGGGGGAUAACCCGGAGAAAUCCGGCCUAAUACCGCGUAACACCUUAGGGGAGCAUUCUCUUGAGGUUAAAGGAGAGAUCCGGCAUAGGAUGGACAUGCGUCGCAUUAGGUAGACGGCGGGGUAACGGCCCACCGUGCCGACGAUGCGUAGGGGUUCUGAGAGGAAGGCCCCCCACACUGGUACUGAGACACGGACCAGACUCCUACGGGAGGCAGCAGUGAGGAAUAUUGGUCAAUGGCCGAGAGGCUGAACCAGCCAAGUCGCGUGAGGGAAGAAUGUCCUAAGGAUUGUAAACCUCUUUUGUCGGGGAGCAAAAAGGCUCUGCGGAGUCGUAUUGAGAGUACCCGAAGAAAAAGCAUCGGCUAACUCCGUGCCAGCAGCCGCGGUAAUACGGAGGAUGCGAGCGUUAUCCGGAUUUAUUGGGUUUAAAGGGUGCGCAGGCGGCGUGUCAAGCAAGCGGUAAAAUAGCGGGGCUCAACCCCGUCGAGCCGUUUGAACUGGCGCGCUUGAGUUCAGGCGAGGUAGGCGGAAUUCGUGGUGUAGCGGUGAAAUGCAUAGAUAUCACGAAGAACUCCGAUUGCGAAGGCAGCUUACCAGUCUGCGACUGACGCUCAGGCACGAAAGUGUGGGUAUCGAACAGGAUUAGAUACCCUGGUAGUCCACACAGUAAACGAUGAGCGCUAGGUGUCCGGGUCGCAUGAGACUUGGGUGCCCGAGCGAAAGCGUUAAGCGCUCCACCUGGGGAGUACGCCGGCAACGGUGAAACUCAAAGGAAUUGACGGGGGCCCGCACAAGCGGAGGAACAUGUGGUUUAAUUUGAUGAUACGCGAGGAACCUUACCCGGGCUCAAACGACUCAGGAAUAUAUUGGAAACGAUGUAGCCAGCAAUGGUCUGAGUCGAGGUGCUGCAUGGUUGUCGUCAGCUCGUGCCGUGAGGUGUCGGCUUAAGUGCCAUAACGAGCGCAACCCCUACCGCCAGUUGCCAACGGGUAAAGCCGGGAACUCUGGCGGGACUGCCGGCGCAAGCUGUGAGGAAGGCGGGGAUGACGUCAAAUCAGCACGGCCCUUACGUCCGGGGCGACACACGUGUUACAAUGGCAGGUACAGCGGGAAGCCACCUGGUGACAGGGAGCGGAACCCGAAAGCCUGCCUCAGUUCGGAUUGGAGUCUGCAACUCGACUCCAUGAAGCUGGAUUCGCUAGUAAUCGCGCAUCCGCCAUGGCGCGGUGAAUACGUUCCCGGGCCUUGCACUCACCGCCCGUCA